rnacentral:rRNA from 1 species
AUUGAACGCUGGCGGCAGGCUUAACACAUGCAAGUCGAGCGAGCGGCGGACGGGUGAGUAAUGCUUAGGACUCUGCCUCUUAGUGGGGGACAACAUCUCGAAAGGGAUGCUAAUACCGCAUACUAAUCGAUGAGCCUAAGUCGGAUUAGCUAGUAGGUGGGGUAACGUGUCACCUAGGCGACGAUCCCUAGCUGGUCUGAGAGGAUGACCAGCCACACUGGAACUGAGACACGGUCCAGACUCCUACGUGAGGCAGAAGUGGGGAAUAGUGCACAAUGGGCGCAAGCCUGAUGCAGCCAUGCCGCGUGUGUGAAGAAGGCCUUCGGGUUGUAAAGCACUUUCAGCGGGGAGGCGUUACCCGCAGAAGAAGCACCGGCUAACUCCGUGCCAGCAGCCGCGGUAAUAC